CGCGCCUCUUGAAAACGCUUAUCCCCCGGAUAGAACAGUCAAAGCGCAGAAAAGCGGAAUAGAGCAGCGAUGGCUACGCUGAACUCUGGCCUUUUAAUCUGGGAUACCCCAUGGUAUAUGCGGCCAACACAAACGGCCAACACAAAAGCCGCAGCUGCAUUUGUGAAAACAGAAGCUCACAAAUAAACAGAUUCUAACUGCUUAACUGGCACCUCGGGAGAAGAGGACACGUCACUGAAAGAGAUCCAUCUUCAUUGGAGCAGCGUACAAGUCCGGCUGGUCGGGAAGAAGCGAUCCGGGAGAAAAAGGACUUCUUCCAAGCAGCUGCGUAGGAUGAAGAGGUACGGCCCCAAUGAGAAGAUGGACGCUCAUCAAAAAGUGAGUAUGGACUUCUCCACACUGCAACACUUGAGCAGACACAGCACUUUCAAUCCCAUCCUCCCCACCACUCACAAGUCAUCAGAAA